ACACAAACAGCACACACACACUAAAAGCACCCACACACAUACAUCACCCUUACACGCACAGCACACACACACACUAACAGCACCCUCACACACACAGCACCCUCACACACACACAACACACACUAACAGCACCAUCAUACACACACACACAGCACCCUUACACAUAUACAGCACCCUCACACACAGCACCCUUACACAUACACACAGCACACACUAACAGUACCCUCACACACAGCACCCUUACACAUACACACACACACACUAACAGUGCCCUUACACACACACAUACACACACACUAACAGCACCCUCACACACACAGCACACACACAGCACCCUCAAACACAGCACCCUUACACACACACACACACACUAACAGCACCC